rnacentral:rRNA from 1 species
AGCGAACGCUGGCGGCGGGCCUAACACAAGCAAGUCGAACGGAUCCUUCGGGAUUAGUGGCGGACGGGUGAGUAACACGUGGGAACGUGCCCUUUGGUUCGGAACAACUCAGGGAAACUUGAGCUAAUACCGGAUGUGCCCUUCGGGGGAAAGAUUUAUCGCCAUUGGAGCGGCCCGCGUCUGAUUAGCUAGUUGGUGAGGUAAAGGCUCACCAAGGCGACGAUCAGUAGCUGGUCUGAGAGGAUGAUCAACCACAUUGGGACUGAGACACGGCCCAAACUCCUACGGGAGGCAGCAGUGGGGAAUCUUGCGCAAUGGGCGAAAGCCUGACGCAGCCAUGCCGCGUGAAUGAUGAAGGUCUUAGGAUUGUAAAAUUCUUUCACCGGGGACGAUAAUGACGGUACCCGGAGAAGGAGCCCCGGCUAACUUCGUGCCAGCCGCCGCGGUAA